CAAUAGCGUAUAUUAAAGUUGUUGCGGUUAAAAAGCUCGUAGUUGGAUUUCUGCCGAGGACGACCGGUCCGCCCUCUGGGUGAGUAUCUGGCUCGGCCUGGGCAUCUUCUUGGAGAACGUAGCUGCACUUGACUGUGUGGUGCGGUAUCCGGGACUUUUACUUUGAGGAAAUUAGAGUGUUUCAAGCAGGCUUACGCCUUGAAUACAUUAGCAUGGAAUAAUAAGAUAGGACCUCGGUUCUAUUUUGUUGGUUUCUAGAGCUGAGGUAAUGAUUAAUAGGGAUAGUUGGGGGCAUUCGUAUUUAACUGUCAGAGGUGAAAUUCUUGAAUUUGUUAAAGACGGACUACUGCGAAAGCAUUUGCCAAGGAUGUUUUCAUUGA
rnacentral:rRNA from 1 species